CAAUAGCGUAUAUUUAAGUUGUUGCAGUUAAAAAGCUCGUAGUUGGAUUUCGGUUAAGAGCGACCGGUCCGCCGUUUGGUGUGCACUGGUUGGUUUUAACUUCCUGUAGAGGACGUGCUCUGGGUUUAACGACCUGGACUCGGAGUCUACGUGGUUACUUUGAAAAAAUUAGAGUGUUCAAAGCGGGCUCACGCUUGAAUAUUUCAGCAUGGAAUAACACUAUAGGACUCCUGUCCUAUUUCGUUGGUCUCGGGACGGGAGUAAUGAUUAAGAGGAACAGUUGGGGGCAUUCGUAUUUCAUUGUCAGAGGUGAAAUUCUUGGAUUUAUGAAAGACGAACUUCUGCGAAAGCAUUUGCCAAGGAUGUUUUCAUUAA
rnacentral:rRNA from 1 species